rnacentral:tRNA from 1 species
UAGAAUGUAGUGUACUUGGUAGCACGGAGAUUUUUGAGUUCUUAGGUUUAGGUUCAAUUCCUAUAAUUCUAG